rnacentral:rRNA from 1 species
UGGGGAAUUUUGCGCAAUGGGGGAAACCCUGACGCAGCAACGCCGCGUGGAGGAUGAAGUCCCUUGGGAUGUAAAGCUCCUUUUCGACCGGGAAGAUACUGACGGUACCGGAAGAAGAAGCACCGGCUAACUCUGUGCCAGCAGCCGCGGUAAUACAGAGGGUGCGAGCGUUGUUCGGAAUUAUUGGGCGUAAAGGGCGCGUAGGCGGUGCGGUAAGUCACCUGUGAAAUCUCCUGGCUCAACUGGGAGUCUGCAGGCGAAACUGCCGUGCUGGAGUAUGGGAGAGGUGCGUGGAUUCCCGGUGUAGCGGUGAAAUGCGCAGAUAUCAGGAAGAACACCUAUGGCGAAGGCAGCUCUCUGGGACGGUACUGACGCUGAGACGCGAAAGCGUGGGGAGCAAACAGGAUUAGAUACCC